rnacentral:rRNA from 1 species
CCUACGGGAGGCAGCAGUGAGGAAUAUUGGUCAAUGGGCGCGAGCCUGAUCCAGCCACGUCGCGUGAGGGAUGACUGCCCUACGGGUUGUAACCUUCUUUUAUAAAGGACUAAAGUGAGGCACGUGUGCCUUUUUGUGUGUACUUUAUGCAUACGGCUCGGCUAACUCCGUGCCAGCAGCCGCGGUAAUACAGAGGAUCCGCGCGUUAUCCGGAUUUAGUGGGUGUAAAGGGUGCGUAGAUGGGUUGUUGAGUCAGUUGUGAAAGUUUGCGGCUCAACCGUAAAAUUGCAAUUGAUACUGGCAGCCUUGAGUACAGUUGAGGGAGGCGGAACUCGUGGUGUAGCGGUGAAAUGCGUAGAUAUCACGAAGAACUCCGAUGGCGAAGGCAGCCUACUAAACUGCCACUGACAUUGAUGCUCGAAAGUGUGGGUAGCAAACAGGAUUAGAUACCCUUGUAGUC